AUUCUUAGCUUCUUUAGGUCAAGAUAGUCAGCGAACCUGAGAGAGUUGGGACCUUUUAUGCUCCCCUCGGUUAGCUAGGUUUUAGCUGCAGAGAAUGCCUUCCUGAAUAGUGUAGCAUCUAGGGAUGAUGUCUGGAGAGCUGUUUGGGCAAUGGCGGAGGACCAAGCAUUUGGUCAUGAUGGCUUUCUCCUCUUCUUCAAGUGAUAGUCCAAUGGUUGAGGUAAUCCAACAGUUCUUUGUCAUUGGACAGAUGCCGGC
rnacentral:lncRNA from 1 species